GGCCUUAGUACGGCGAGUGAAGCGGCAAAAGCUCAAAUUUGAAAUCUGGUACCUUCGGUGCCCGAGUUGUAAUUUGGAGAGGGCAACUUUGGGGCCGUUCCUUGUCUAUGUUCCUUGGAACAGGACGUCAUAGAGGGUGAGAAUCACGUGUGGCGAGGAGUGCGGUUCUUUGUAAAGUGCCUUCGAAGAGUCGAGUUGUUUGGGAAUGCAGCUCUAAGUGGGUGGUAAAUUCCAUCUAAAGCUAAAUAUUGGCGAGAGACCGAUAGCGGACAAGUACAGUGAUGGAGAGAUGAAAAGAACUUUGAAAAGAGAGUGAAAAAGUACGUGAAAUUGUUGAAAGGGAAGGGCAUUUGAUCAGACAUGGUGUUUUGUGCCCUCUGCUCCUUGUGGGUAGGGGAAUCUCGCAUUUCACUGGGCCAGCAUCAGUUUUGGUGGCAGGAUAAAUCCAUAGGAAUGUAGCUUGCCUCGGUAAGUAUUAUAGCCUGUGGGAAUACUGCCAGCUGGGACUGAGGACUGCGACGUAAGUCAAGGAUGCAGGCAUAAUAG
rnacentral:rRNA from 1 species